GGGGUCGUACGAAACUAAAGGCGCAAUGAAAGUGAAGGCCGCCUCCGGUUGGCCUAUGUAGGAUCCCCGCCCGCCGGGCGGGGCGCACUACCGGCCCGUCUCGAUCUCGUCGCAGGUGAGGCGGAGCAAGAGCGUACACGUUGGGACCCGAAAGAUGGUGAACUAUGCUUGAGUAGGACGAAGCCAGAGGAAACUCUGGUGGAGGUCCGUAGCGAUUCUGACGUGCAAAUCGAUCGUCAAACUUGGGUAUAGGGGCGAAAGACUAAUCGAACCAUCUAGUAGCUGGUUCCCUCCGAAGUUUCCCUCAGGAUAGCUGGCACUCAGUUCGCAGUUUUAUCCGGUAAAGCGAAUGAUUAGAGGCCUUGGGGACGAAACGACCUCAACCUAUUCUCAAACUUUAAAUGGGUAAGAAGUCCGACUCGCUCGAGUGGAGCCGGGCGUCGAAUGCGAGAGCCAAGUGGGCCACUUUUGGUAAGCAGAACUGG
rnacentral:rRNA from 1 species